rnacentral:rRNA from 1 species
AGCGAACGCUGGCGGCAGGCCUAACACAUGCAAGUCGAACGAACUCUUCGGAGUUAGUGGCGGACGGGGGAGGAACACGUGGGAACGUGCCUUUAGGUUCGGAAUAACUCAGGGAAACUUGUGCUAAUACCGAAUGUGCCCUUCGGGGGAAAGAUUUAUCGCCUUUAGAGCGGCCCGGGUCUGAUUAGCUAGUUGGUGAGGUAAAGGCUCACCAAGGCGACGAUCAGUAGCUGGUCUGAGAGGAUGAUCAGCCACAUUGGGACUGAGACACGGCCCAAACUCCUACGGGAGGCAGCAGUAGGGAAUCUUGCGCGAUGGGCGAAAGCCUGACGAAGCCAUGCCGCGUGAAUGAUGAAGGUCUUAGGAUUGUAAAAUUCUUUCACCGGGGACGAUAAUGACGGUACCCGGAGAAGAAGCCCCGGCUAACUUCGUG